rnacentral:rRNA from 1 species
CACGCCGUAAACGUUGUGCACUAGGUGUGGGAGGUAUCGACCCCUUCCGUGCCGCAGCUAACGCAUUAAGUGCACCGCCUGGGGAGUACGGUCGCAAGACUGAAACUCAAAGGAAUUGACGGGGGCCCGCACAAGCGGUGGAGCAUGUGGUUUAAUUCGAGGCAACGCGAAGAACCUUACCCAGACUUGACAUCCCGGGAAUCCCUUGGAAACGAGGGAGUGCCUUUCGGGGAACCCGGUGACAGGUGU